rnacentral:misc_RNA from 1 species
AUUAGAGGAAGUAAAAGUCGUAACAAGGUUUCCGUAGAACAAGUCCUGCAGGAAAUGAUUCCUUCCGCAGUGUACACUUGUAGAAGCCUUUGCAGCCACGCAAGUGGUAGAUCCAAACGACUUUAAAUAAUUCCAGGGUCGCUAUGCAAGUCGACCCACGCAUGUGGUGCCGGCGACACUUUCGAAUUGACGGGGACACCCUAAAGCCUGUCGCACCAACUCUGUGCGGGAAACCGCUCGAGGGCCCGUGCUAACUACACGGGGUGGUAACAGACGACAUGGAUACUUCCACGCAUUUGGCGUGGAUACUAUGGGCAAUCCGCAGCGAAGCCUCUAAGUCCGGCCGCCGGAUAUGAGGAACGUUCACAGACUAAGUGGAAGUGGGUGGAGCGUUUGCCGCUUUGCUUAAGAUAUAGUCGGUCCCCUUAGGAAACUAAGGGGGUGAGUACACUGCUUGAAAUUUAGACAUGAACGUGCGUAGUUAUAAUCAACAUUCCCGGUCUGGGAGAGCGCUCAUGUUAGAAUUUCGAGACUGUCAAUUGCCUUACGGUUUGACAGCUCUCAAAACGUUCCGUAGGUGAACCUGCGGAAGGAUCAUUACAGAAAGUAAACGCGGAUCAAACCGCGAACUUUUAAACCUUUGACGAUUGACUCAUGUUGCCUCGGCGGGUUCGCCCGCCAGAGGAUACAUCAAAACUCCUGUUUUAAACGGUGUUGUCUGAGCUACGAGCAACGAAUCAAAACUUUCAACAA